rnacentral:lncRNA from 1 species
CGGUUCCUUCCAGGCUCGCUCCCUGCGACGCAGCGGCCGCUUUGCUGCCAGCUCAGCCGAGGCCCCUCCAAUUUCCAAGUGGAAUAAUUGGGAGUCAGCUGGAGCCGGGGGCUCUUCGUGCUUCCCGAGCCUUUGUCCCUCUCGGAGAAGGACGUCAUCCUCCUGUAACUGGUUUAAACAUGUCCUCGGUGCCGGGUGGCGAGCCAAGAGCCGGCUGAUGGGUUUGGCAGGGCUGGGUUUGGGGGAAGAAAUGGGUUUUUGAGAGGUUGGGCUGAAAUGGAGCAACCUGUCCCGUUGGAACUAGGUGAUCUCUGAGAUCCCAUCCAACCCAACCGCUCCAGAGCUGAGCUGGGAGGAGGUCAGCAAAUGGGCAACUCUUGGUUGGGGCUGUGCUGGGAAACGAGCUGGGCCUGUCCUGCAGAACGGGAUAGGAAUAAGUGGAGGGUGGGCAGAGAGGAGCCCCCUCGGUGCCCCCCAUCCUCAGCUAAAGCCCAUCAGGAGAUGCGGGCUGGAUGCAGCUGUAGGGCCGUCACUGCUGCCAUCCCAUGCUGGCAGUUCGAGGUUUGGGGCUUCUAAAUUUGGCUCUUUUUGGGGUGAGCAGUGGGGAAGGAGGACGGGAGCGUUUCUCUCUCUCGCUCCAUUGUCGGAUCAAAGUAAUCCUGGCUUUAAAGGCUUCCCAUUCAGCAUGGGGCCAACGGGGAGCAGGAUCAUUAAAGCGUCCGAGCACCGCGUUUCCAUGCUUUGAAAUCACUUGGGAUCACUCCUCCUUGGCAGAAUCACCCCGAGCAGCUCCCGGGGCCCGGCCACGUGUCCCAGAAUGCAGCUGUAACCAGGCUGCUGUCUGCAAGCUCACCCCAAUGAGCCUUCUGGGGGCACACCGGCUCUCUUUGGUCCUGAAGAUGCUUUUAUUUUUUCUCUCUCUGCCCAGGAAAACAGCUUUGCCUGGCGACGAAAAGCCAAGCCAGCAGCACAAGCACCUGCACGGCGUACACGGACCCGCUUUUGCACCAGCUGGUGGGGAGGGACCAUUGUGUUCGACCACUUUGGCUUCCUGCAUGAGGUGGGCCGUGAAGUGCCGCGUGGCUCUAAGCCUUAUUAUUAUUAGCAUUUAUUACUGCGGAGGGAACGAGCACAGAAAGCGCGGCUCCGCGGGUGGGUGGCUUUUUAAAGCAAUCACCUACGGCCAUGCAACCUGUUAUGAAAACUCUCUGCGUAACCGAGAUGGAUCUGUUACGUGCACGGGAGAUGUGGGUACCAGAAGUCAGAGCCGGGCAAACCAGAGCUGCUCAUUUGCCCUUGGCACAGGGCUGAGUGCUGUCCCUGAUCCCCCUGAUGGUGAGCAGCGAGUCACGGUGCGAGUCAGCUCGUGUCCUUGGGAGUCCUCCAGGCAGCAGCGCUCAAUGGAGCGGGGAGAUGGGAGCCCUCGUGAAUCUUCAGCUCGGAGCAAUGAAGGCACCCAGUGUACCGGGACGGCAGCGCCAGAGCUGCCAUGAGCAAUGGGCAAGACAGGACCUGGUUUAGGUCAAGCCGGGCACCCGUCUGCAGACAGGAGAGAUGAAAAUGAGCUCUCGUCUUCUGCGGAGGAGAAGUUCCCGGGGAGAGCUGGAGGAAAAGCGAGGGGAAAUUAAGCAGAAAUAGCUUCGGGGUCAUUUAAAAAUAUCCCCACGGCUCCCUUACAUAUAUAUUUAGCAAGAAUUCAUCGUCCAUGGCUGAGGGAGCUCUAGGCACCGAAUGUUCGGAACGGCCUUUGAUGAAGACCCAUGGGAUCCUGCAUGGCUUGGAAGGGAGAGAGGUCGGGGGGAUGGAGGGGGCAGGUGAGGGCUGCAGGGUAGCUCCCAGCCCCCUACCCCCCACUGUGCCCACCCACGUGUUGAUGUGCUGAGGGGGGAUGUUUAGGGGAUGCCGAGCACUGGGAUGGCUGGCAGCAGCGUGGUGCUCUUCGCAUCACCCAGCCCGUUGGUUUUUGAGGUCCCAAAGUGUUUUCCAUCUCGUGCUGCUUCAGCAGGAAAAAGCACCCCUCGCUUCUAGGAGCAUCCUGGACCAAAGGAAGGUUCAAAAGACAGGUCUGGAUCUGCCGGAGCCCAUGAAUUAUUCAUCGCUUCUCCGAGUUGCAGAGGAUCCCAUUACGAGGUGCAGAAGGGUCUCCUUGAGCUGCGCAGCCCUGCCCAGAGCUGUCAGCUCAGAAACCCAAGAGCUGGAGGGAUCUCAGCUCGCGCCUUCCUUCCCCGGGGCCAACACUGCUCCCAUAGCAAAGGCAGGCGGGCUUUGACUUUGGGGCUCUGCCUGAAGGUUGGUGGGUGUCUCCUUACAGGCCUGAUUAUUGAUCGCCUCCUGCCUGAGUUCCCACCCCAUCCAGAUUGUAACUGCUGCCCUCGAGAUGACGAAUGGAGCUGCCAGCCUCUGAUUUAUUUUAAUUGCCAUCUUCCCUUCCCGCUAGCGGUGGAGAGGCACUGCGCUGGGGUGCUUGAGCUGGAGGCUCUGAGCGCAUCUGAGUGAUAUUAUUAUUAUUAUUUUGAGGCUGUCUGGG